rnacentral:rRNA from 1 species
AUUGAACGCUGGCGGCAGGCCUAACACAUGCAAGUCGAGCGGUAGCACAGAGAGCUUGCUCUCGGGUGACGAGCGGCGGACGGGUGAGUAAUGUCUGGGAAACUGCCUGAUGGAGGGGGAUAACUACUGGAAACGGUAGCUAAUACCGCAUAACGUCGCAAGACCAAAGUGGAGGACCUUCGGGCCUCAUGCCAUCAGAUGUGCCCAGAUGGGAUUAGCUAGUAGGUGGGGUAACGGCUCACCUAGGCGACGAUCCCUAGCUGGUCUGAGAGGAUGACCAGCCACACUGGAACUGAGACACGGUCCAGACUCCUACGGGAGGCAGCAGUGGGGAAUAUUGCACAAUGGGCGCAAGCCUGAUGCAGCCAUGCCGCGUGUGUGAAGAAGGCCUUCGGGUUGUAAAGCACUUUCAGCGGGGAGGAAGGCGUUAAGGUUAAUAACCUUGGCGAUUGACGUUACCCGCAGAAGAAGCACCGGCUAACUCCGUGCCAGCAGCCGCGGUAAUACGGAGGGUGCAAGCGUUAAUCGGAAUUACUGGGCGUAAAGCGCACGCAGGCGGUCUGUCAAGUCGGAUGUGAAAUCCCCGGGCUCAACCUGGGAACUGCAUUCGAAACUGGCAGGCUAGAGUCUUGUAGAGGGGGGUAGAAUUCCAGGUGUAGCGGUGAGAUGCGUAGAGAUCUGGAGGAAUACCGGUGGCGAAGGCGGCCCCCUGGACAAAGACUGACGCUCAGGUGCGAAAGCGUGGGGAGCAAACAGGAUUAGAUACCCUGGUAGUCCACGCCGUAAACGAUGUCGAUUUGGAGGUUGUGCCCUUGAGGCGUGGCUUCCGGAGCUAACGCGUUAAAUCGACCGCCUGGGGAGUACGGCCGCAAGGUUAAAACUCAAAUGAAUUGACGGGGGCGCGCACAAGCGGUGGAGCAUGUGGUUUAAUUCGAUGCAACGCGAAGAACCUUACCUGGUCUUGACAUCCACAGAACUUUCCAGAGAUGGAUUGGUGCCUUCGGGAACUGUGAGACAGGUGCUGCAUGGCUGUCGUCAGCUCGUGUUGUGAAAUGUUGGGUUAAGUCCCGCAACGAGCGCAACCCUUAUCCUUUGUUGCCAGCGGUUAGGCCGGGAACUCAAAGGAGACUGCCAGUGAUAAACUGGAGGAAGGUGGGGAUGACGUCAAGUCAUCAUGGCCCUUACGACCAGGGCUACACACGUGCUACAAUGGCAUAUACAAAGAGAAGCGACCUCGCGAGAGCAAGCGGACCUCAUAAAGUAUGUCGUAGUCCGGAUUGGAGUCUGCAACUCGACUCCAUGAAGUCGGAAUCGCUAGUAAUCGUAGAUCAGAAUGCUACGGUGAAUACGUUCCCGGGCCUUGUACACACCGCCCGUCACACCAUGGGAGUGGGUUGCAAAAGAAGUAGGUAGCUUAACCUUCGGGAGGGCGCUUACCACUUUGUGAUUCAU